AUGACAAACCCUGGGGGGGCACAGCAGCUUGGCUGGGGGGGCAAUGCCCUCCAAUGCCCCCCCGUGGCGCCCGCCCUACCGUGGACUAGCUACUUCGGAGGAGGCACAAAACUAACACUGAGUAACGCCCGUCCCCAAUCCCCCCCUGAGCUGGUGGUGCUGGCCCCCUCCCAGGCCCUCUCCUCUGGGGACAGGCCUACUGUGGUGUGCCUGGCUCAGGGCUUCUACCCUGAUGGUGCCACCCUGAGCUGGUCAGAGGAUGGUAAAGAAGUGGCAGCCACUGGCUUCCAGACGGGCCCGUCUCAGCGCCAGUCUGAUGGCACCUUCUCCCUCAGCAGCGUCCUGACGGUGCAGCUGCAACGCUGGCACUCUGGCCGUUCCUACAGCUGCCAGCUGCAGUACUCUGCCCUCUCCAGGCCUCUGAGCAAGGCUGUGGACAAUGCUCACUGCAGCUAGACAGGCUACAGUGGACAACACUCACUGCAGCUAGACAGGCUACAGUGGACAACGCUCGCUACAGCUAAAUGGGGACGGUGGCUUAACCCUUUACAGCCGGAUAAGGAAAGUAGACAAUGCCCCAGUCCUAACUUUUCUUAUCUGCAUGCAUUUUUUUCAGGUUUUUCUCUUCUGAAAACAAAUGUUUCUUUACUAUAUUUUCCUUUGCAUAUUGAUAAUGUUUUUUUUAUAAUUCUAGAGCGCUGUUGAUACUUUGUUUUGGUAUCACCAUCAGUUACAUUAUACAUUCCAUGUUCUUCCCUUUUCUUCCCUUCCCUGUUUUUCAAUAAA